rnacentral:rRNA from 1 species
UACGUAGGGGGCAAGCGUUGUCCGGAUUUAUUGGGCGUAAAGAGCGUGUAGGCGGCCAGAUAGGUCAGCUGUGAAAACUCGAGGCUCAACCUCGAGACGUCGGUUGAAACCAUCUGGCUAGAGUCCGGAAGAGGAGAGUGGAAUUCCCGGUGUAGCGGUGAAAUGCGCAGAUAUCGGGAAGAACACCCGUGGCGAAGGCGGCUCUCUGGGACGGUACUGACGCUGAGGAGCGAAAGCGUGGGGAGCGAACAGG